rnacentral:lncRNA from 1 species
AAUCUGGCACAAGUAACAGGAUGUCAUUUCCUACCUGACAGGAAUUUUUCAAGAACAAAGUGAGUUACUAGAUGUGAAGUGCACGGACGGCAGCUGGCACAAAAUAAGCAUAUGUUGUGAUGUUUGCAAUAUCCGGCAGGUUUUCUCUCUGCAACAGCCCUAAAAUUUCUCUCCAAAUUGGCUGCAUUGGUAAAGCGCAACCAAAAACAUUUCCCUUUGGCUGUGGAGGCAAAGGGUGCGUUGUCGUCAUCAGGCUGCUGAGGCCGUCACAGAUUUUCACUCACUGCGGCUAAUCACACAAAACUUAAAACAACCAUGUGGCAUCCUAGUUCCAUAAAGCUUCAGACAUCAGCUAUCAGAUCCUGCCAAGGUACAGCAACACUUCUUUAAAAGAGUUCAUCAUGCAUAUUCCAAAACCAUAUAGAAGAAUAAUCUACUCUUGGAUAAACUGAAUGCAUUUCCCAAAUACACAGGCACUUCAUUCCUGGAAUUCAAUGACAAACAAAACCCCAAACUAAAGUAAACUCAAGAGUUGGUCAUCACUCCUUCCCUUCUGCCCAUCAAGACGGAUGGAUUAUAACCUUUCCUGCUCCAUUCUAAACAGCCUGAGACCUUGGACUCCAGCAGCCCCAGGCCACAGCAGAAUGCCUUGGGAGAGGCAGGCAAUUAACUAAUGAAUUAUUAACAAUUAAAAACUGAAUUCUUAACAAUGAACUUUCAGGCUAGUGAGGGCGAUUGCUAUUUUCUUCCAUUCUCUCCACUUUUUGGAGCAAGGGUGGGGCCUCAAAGUGCUUCCUGCAAGGUCCUUCAGAAAGUGACUCCUCUUCACAGCAAAUGCAGCAUUUGCCAGGCCCACCCUAAGCUCUGACCAUGCAGCCAUUCUCUCCCUCCCCACCCGAUCCAUCCUCUGAGGUCGGUAUCAUUUUUAUCCCCACUUUACAGAGGAGGAAACGGAAGCACCUAGAGCAGCACAGGUUCAGGUGUGUGCUCUGAUUGUGCACUGAGUCGUGUCCCUAAGCAUGGGUGAUGGCUGGCCGGCUACAGGAAGAGGGGUGUGGCUGCCCGCGUAGCGGAAGCAGCAGGAACAGAAGCACCGGGUCCAUUCGAGGGAAUGAAGGCGCGCCCGAGCACUGGGCCACGGAAGUGUGUG